GACGAGGGGCGGCCCGAGCGCGGCCCCGCUCUGCUGCUGUCCGCCUCCCGGGCAGACGGCAGCGGCGCGGCGGGGCGCGAUGGCGGCCGGGCUGGGGCCGUGGCUGCUGGCCUUGGCCUUGGGGCCGGCAGGAGUGUGUGCACAGUUGAGACUGGAAACGUCUGGUGGAGGUGUGCGGGCGCCUGGAGAUUCUGUGCAGCUCUCCUGCCAGGGAUCUGGCUUCAGCUUUGGAAGUUAUGAUGUACUGUGGUACCGUCAGACACUCGGUGGCCGUCUCGAGUGGCUGUCCUACAUCAGCAGCAGCUCAUAUACUGUUAGAUACAGCCCAGAUGUGGAGGGUCGAGCCACGGUUUCUCGAGACAAUUCCCGAUCUGUGUCCUCUCUGUCUCUACGUGCCCUGUACCCACACGACUCCGCGCACUACUUGUGUGCUUUUCGCACGGGAACAGGAAAUCCUGAAGAGCUUCAUCAAAAAACCUCUUCCUGGGCACAGACACAGCUGCAGGAACCGCAGGGCUGGCAGGAGCUGGAGUAGGUCUGGGCUGCUCCUGGACAGUGUGGGGACAUUGCUGCACACCACAGAUGACCCUGUCCUUUCUGCAAUGUGUCCUUUUACUUCAUCACUCCAUUCAUUCUCCUGAGUCACAAAAGCAGUGUUGUGACCUGAGGAUUAUAUUCACUGUAUAUCUGGUCACCAGAUCAGUUUGGCCACUUUGCCCAACCUCCUACCUGCAGCAUGUCUGCACCUGCUCUUGGUUUCCUUCUUCCCUUGGGUACUUGAAGGCACUUGGGCACUUCUAGCUACAUAAUUGCCUGCUUCCAAAAUUUGCUACAGGCUCUUUGAAUCUGCUUCUGUGAGGAAAGCAGUGGGUGAAUAGUUCUGUCAUGAUCUCAGGAGAGUUUCAGAGUGCUGUAAUCCAACCAGUGUGGUCUGCAGUGUUGCACUGAGCAGGGCUAACAGAACCUGCAUGACACCUAAGUUACUCUGAUAGCAGUGUCUCCUGUUUGAUUCCAAAGAAAGUACAGCAGUUACAAAGAGUGCAAUAAUGCUAUUUGGUAGAGCAGUUUCACAGAUGCAGGACAUUAAUCAGAGUCAACACCGUUUUCGCCAGUGAUGAAGAAGAUCUUUCUUUUCAUGCUGAUGAAUACCUGCAGCAGUAGAGGUGAACCACAGUUUCACAGCUUCAAUGCUGGUACUGUUCCCAAGAAAAUGUUGCCCACACAAUACAUCUCUCAUCAGCCCAAACAGAUGGAAGUCCAAAGGUGCGAUACACAGACUAUAGCAUGGUUGUAGUAGGACUGUUCACCCAAGAUUGUCAAUGUGCACCAUGGCCUUCAAAUUGGUAUGGUGUGUGAUGUUUUCAUGUUGCAAGAGAAUGGCUGCCUCCUUCUCUGCCCUGACUCUGGAGGUUUGAGCGUUGUCAGCACUGAGACUGAGCGAUGUGAGCUGAUGCAUUAUCUGGGUUCUAUUAACUCUGGGAGGAUCUCCCCUUUCCUAUGCCAAAUGCCAGUGCACAUCGGUUUAACUGGUGAGGGCUGUGUCUCGAACUUUUUCUUCAGUAGGGAAAUAUCAUAUUGCCACUCUGGCUCUUUUGACUGUCUGGUAGUGGUGACACCAUGUCUCAUCACUGUUAAUGAUGUGACCCAGGAAACUGCCACCUUGAGCUGUGUAUGGGUUCAGAUGUUCCUGACAAACUUGCAUGCAUUGUUCUUUCUAUUCCUGGGUGAGUCUUUGUAGUUUCCAGCUAAUGAAAACUUUUCUCUAUGUUAA